rnacentral:rRNA from 1 species
GACGAACGCUGGCGGCGUGCUUAACACAUGCAAGUCGAACGGAAAGGCCCUGCUUUUGUGGGGUGCUCGAGUGGCGAACGGGUGAGUAACACGUGAGUAACCUGCCCUUGACUUUGGGAUAACUUCAGGAAACUGGGGCUAAUACCGGAUAGGAGCUCCUGCUGCAUGGUGGGGGUUGGAAAGUUUCGGCGGUUGGGGAUGGACUCGCGGCUUACCAGCCUGUUGGUGGGGCAGGGGCUCACCAAGGCCUGGACGGGUAGCCGGCCUGGGAGGGUGACCGGCCGCAUGGGGACGGGGGGGCGGCCGGGGCGCGGAGGGGGGGGAGGGGGGGGGAGUGUGGGGGAAGGGGCGGAGGGGGGAGGGAGGGACGCCGGGUGGGGGAGGGCGGCGUUGGGGUGGGAAGCGGGUUUCGCGUGUGAGGAGGCGUGGGGGGGGGGAAUGGGGAAAGAGGGAGGGGGGAGCUGGGG